CAUUGGAAGGACUGAUGCUGAAGCUGAAACUCCACUUUGGCCACCUGAUGGGAAGAGCUGACUCACUGGAAAAGACCCUGAUGCUGGGAAAGAUUGAGGGCAGGUGGAGAAGGGGGCACCAGAGGAUGAGAUGGUUGGAUGGCAUCACCAACUCAAAGAACAUGAGUUGGAGCAAACUCUGGGAGAUAGUGAAGGACAGGGAAGCCUGAGUGACUGAACAACAGCAACUUGCAGUUAUGAUUCAGGACAUAAAUAAGUCUCCACCAGUCAGAGACCUUAUGUGAGGGUUGCAAGGUGGUGGGGAGACAGAGUCUGUUUUCAUGCUGCUUUGCUCUUCCAGCAAGCAGAGUCAUGAGCUGAUGCCGUUUUGGCAUUACUGGUCCACUAGUUACUCUGCGUGCAGGGGCAGCUGUGGUGAUGGCGAAGGCUUCUUAUCCUGGCUUCCUGCUCUUUGCAUCACAGCUGCAGUGGUGUGUUCUUGAUCUCAGGCUGUCCAGUGACAUUCACUCUUCUGAAUCUAUUCCAAGCUGCACUGCUGAGAUGAAAGUUAAAUUGCUUCAGGAAUCUUGAUGAAGAAGAAGGAGACAGGCUACCAAAAGUCCCUUCCAAUAUAUAUACAUAUAUAUAUUUUUGUUUUGGUCCCCCUACGACAUCAUCCAGGGAUCUUUGACAACUUAAGAAAACAGUUUAACAACAGUUAGAAAUUAACUUCCUGAGAUGAAUAAGGAAAUGUACUUAGAAAGGCUAGAAAGCAAUACGUGUCAGAACAUGCAAGGCAAGGUUUGAAGCAUGUAAAAACACACAGUCACUCAAGAUGAUUCUCAUACUUUGCAAAAAUUACAAAGGAAAAAGGAAAAAAAAAAGUAGCAAGGAAAAUACGUGUCUCCAAGCCUAUGCACUUUCUCCUUCCUUGAAAUCUGGAAUGACUCUUAGGCCUUUGCUUGGGGCCUUUGGACUGAGAAUUGUGAAAUAAUGCAGCUCAUUCCUAGAAGCUUUAUCUUGUGGUUUCUCAGACAGAUCAAAUGCCAACAGGUGUGGGCAAACGCAAGCCAAGAACAAUCAGACCAAGUGACAGAUAACAGCCAGACAGACAAGGACACGACAUACUUAAAGGAAAUUUGAAAAACUAGAGAAACAUAAUUGGGGCUAUUUAGUGAAGCCAUUGCAUAUAUCAGUGUUUUAAAGUGAUCAUUGGCUAUAAAUAAAGAAAAUAACAAUUCUUGCAUUUCUUUAAGUGGUCAUUGAGUAUAUGAAAUACAUUUAAGUUCUGUCAAAAACAAUGGCAAAUUUUGGAACAUUUUCUGAUUUUGGUUCUUGAUGGAGCUUCACUUGUCUGGAA
ensembl:lncRNA